rnacentral:rRNA from 1 species
GAUGAACGCUGGCGGCGUGCCUAAUACAUGCAAGUCGAGCGAACAGAUAAGGAGCUUGCUCCUUUGACGUUAGCGGCGGACGGGUGAGUUACACGUGGAUAACCUACCUAUAAGACUGGGAUAACUUCGGGAAACCGGAGCUAAUACCGGAUAACAUAUUGAACCGCAUGGUUCAAUAGUGAAAGACGGCUUUGCUGUCACUUAUAGAUGGAUCCGCGCCGCAUUAGCUAGUUGGUAAGGUAACGGCUUACCAAGGCAACGAUGCGUAGCCGACCUGAGAGGGUGAUCGGCCACACUGGAACUGAGACACGGUCCAGACUCCUACGGGAGGCAGCAGUAGGGAAUCUUCCGCAAUGGGCGAAAGCCUGACGGAGCAACGCCGCGUGAGUGAUGAAGGUCUUCGGAUCGUAAAACUCUGUUAUCAGGGAAGAACAAAUGUGUAAGUAACUGUGCACAUCUUGACGGUACCUGAUCAGAAAGCCACGGCUAACUACGUG